AUUGAACGCUGGCGGCAGGCCUAACACAUGCAAGUCGAACGAGUGGCGGACGGGUGCGUAAUGUCUGGGAAACUGCCUGAUGGAGGGGGAUGACUACUGGAAACGGUAGCUAAUACCGCAUACCAUCAGAUGUUCCCAGAUGGGAUUAGCUAGUUGGUGGGGUACCGGCUCACCAAGGCGACGAUCCCUAGCUGGUCGGAGAGGAUGACCAGCCACAUUGGAACUGAGAAACGGUCCAGACUCCUACGGGAGGCAGCGGUGGGGAAUAUUGCAAAAUGGGCGCAAUCCUGAUGCAGCCAUGCCGAGUGGAGGAAGAAGUCCUUCGGGUUGUAAAGUACUUUCAGCGGGGAGGCGUUACCCGCAGAAGAAGCACCGGCUAACUCCGUGCCAGCAGCCGCGGUAAUUC
rnacentral:rRNA from 1 species